GAUGGUGACCCCUGGAUACAGCACUAAGCACCGAUCCAUCAGAACUCGCAGUUAAGCGUGCUUGGGCGAGAGUAGUACUAGGAUGGGUGACCCCCUGGAAAGUUGGGGCGUCACAGAAA
rnacentral:rRNA from 1 species